GUUGUUUAUGUAAGAAUUUCAAGGCCACAACUCCAUAUUUGAAGUAAAGUGCUCAUAAAAUUAAUUGCAAGACUUCUGAAGAGAGAUUUGCUAGGAAAAAUAAAAAGAUAUAUAAAUUUCAGUGAUGCUGAAGGAGAGGAAGGAUGUGAUGUCUUUCCCCAUCCGUCAUAAGGGUCAUGGCCAACACUCCUAUAACAAAAGGUUUUGAGAAGCCAUCUGCAGCUCACAACUAGAUGAGUGACACAAUCAGAUGUGCGUAUGCAAAAAAAAGCCUGGAGACAUUGAACUAAGAUCAAAUUUAAUGUAUUAAAUAUGGUAGAAAGAAGAGAGAAUGAAAAAUAAUGUUAACAAUCUAGGUGAGGAAUUGCUGAGGAGACAAAUUAAGUAAAUCCUGUGGAAGGAAAGAAGAAAGGAGGAAAGAGGAUUGGAUGGAAGAAUCUCCACUUCUCAUAGGUGUAGUCCUUCCUUAGCCUGCUUUUUAAUGAGUGCUGCUAAAGCCCUUAGCCUGCCUGUUUACCCUUGGAGUGGAGCAAUGAACUGAAGAUAUUUGAGUGAGUUCAAGAGAGACUCAGAAGAGAAGAAUUGGAGGCAGCAAACAUAGACAGCACUUUUAAUGCUUUUCUCAUAUGCUGUAAGACAUGAAAGCAAUCUAUUGGGAUGAAAGCUGAAAGGAGAAGCGGGACAAGAGAAGUGAAUCCGUGGAAGACCCCCAAAAGAGGCUGCAGAUUCUUAGUGGACAGCUCUCAUAUCCCCUCCAGGGAAAAUGAUGAAAAAUGUCUUCAGAAAAAUAGCUUUAUGAAGGCAAGAGGACUUUUUGCACCUGCAAGACAUGUCUGAAAGCUCCUCAGGUCAAAACACAAGUAGUCAAGAGAUUUGUCCAUCUAAUUCAUCAUACUACUCUGAUCCAAGUGAGACCCACACUGGGUCAGCUCCAUCAAGGAGAAGAACAUUCCACCCACGUUUGGAUUCUGGAAUAUCAUCCUUGCUUCCAUCAGAUUCUUGUAAGUACCUCACUUGGCACAAGGUAGACAUGACGUUCAAGGAAGUCAACUGCGUUGCCCAAGAGUAAGAGAAGGAAUCUCUGAAGAAGAGCAACUUUUCAGACAGGUAGAGUGUGCCUUGCUCCCAAGGAAAAGAGUUCUUGAAAAAAACAAAUGGGAAACAUGGCUACAAGAAAACUGGGAAGACUGCAAGAAUUUGAACAUUUCAUUUCAGGGUUUGGGGGAUCCUUACCAAGUUGAAAAUUUUAACAGAAUUCUUAGAAGACUAAUUCGAGUUGAAACCCUCUGGUUAGUGGAUAAUUCACUGGUGGACUUAAGUGCCAUAAGAUUGCCAAGAGUAUUCUCCUGUUUGCCAAACUUAAAAAUGCUGGAUGGAAUCUUGAAGCUACCAGAAGAUUGCUUAUCACCAGAAACCAAUAUUUUUUCAAAAAUAUGCCUUGUAUCCUAAUGCAGUCUGUAUAGAAAGAAAGCAAUCAUCAUUGUUGCUAAAAGCUAAUAAACACAGGACAUGCAUGAUUAAA
ensembl:lncRNA LRRC77P leucine rich repeat containing 77, pseudogene